UACGGAGGGUGCAAGCGUUAAUCGGAAUUACUGGGCGUAAAGCGCACGCAGGCGGUCUGUUAAGUCAGAUGUGAAAUCCCCGGGCUUAACCUGGGAACUGCAUUUGAAACUGGCAGGCUUGAGUCUUGUAGAGGGGUGUAGAAUUCCAGGUGUAGCGGUGAAAUGCGUAGAGAUCUGGAGGAAUACCGGUGGCGAAGGCGGCCCCCUGGACAAGACUGACGCUCAGGUGCGAAAGCGUGGGGAGCAAACAGG
rnacentral:rRNA from 1 species